rnacentral:rRNA from 1 species
UACGAAGGGGGCUAGCGUUGCUCGGAAUUACUGGGCGUAAAGGGCGCGUAGGCGGACAGUUUAGUCAGAGGUGAAAGCCCAGGGCUCAACCUUGGAACUGCCUUUGAUACUGGCUGUCUUGAGUUCGGGAGAGGUGAGUGGAACUGCGAGUGUAGAGGUGAAAUUCGUAGAUAUUCGCAAGAACACCAGUGGCGAAGGCGGCUCACUGGCCCGGUACUGACGCUGAGGAGCGAAAGCGUGGGGAGCGAACAGG